GAUUUCUGGCUCGUUGUCCUAGCCCGCUCGCUUCGGUGGGUGAGUGCUGGUACAAUCUGCCAUCCUUCCAGAGAGCCAUGAGUACCCUUCAUUGGGCCGCUCGUGUGCGAUCUGGAUCAUUUACUUUGAAAAAAUUAGAGUGUUUAAAGCAGGCUUACGCCUUGAAUACAUUAGCAUGGAAUAAUAACAUAGGACUUCGGUUCUAUUUUGUUGGUUUCUAGGACCUUAGUAAUGAUUGAUAGGGAUAGUUGGGGGUGCUAGUAUUCAGCGGCCAGAGGUGAAAUUCUCGGAUUCGCUGAAGACUAACUUAUGCGAAAGCAUU
rnacentral:rRNA from 1 species